ACUUCCGUUAAAUUGAUUAUGACGUACUUGUACUGAUUGAGAUUUUAACACGAAGUGAGUGGCGAACGGGUGAGUAACACGUGGGUAACCUGCCCAGAAGUAGGGGAUAACACCUGGAAACAGAUGCUAAUACCGUAUAACAGAGAAAACCGCAUGGUUUUCUUUUAAAAGAUGGCUCUGCUAUCACUUCUGGAUGGACCCGCGGCGUAUUAGCUAGUUGGUGAGGUAAAGGCUCACCAAGGCAGUGAUACGUAGCCGACCUGAGAGGGUAAUCGGCCACAUUGGGACUGAGACACGGCCCAGACUCCUACGGGAGGCAGCAGUAGGGAAUCUUCCACAAUGGACGCAAGUCUGAUGGAGCAACGCCGCGUGAGUGAAGAAGGGUUUCGGCUCGUAAAGCUCUGUUGUUAAAGAAGAACGUGGGUAAGAGUAACUGUUUACCCAGUGACGGUAUUUAACCAGAAAGCCACGGCUAACUACGUGCCAGCAGCCGCGGUAAUACGUAGGUGGCAAGCGUUAUCCGGAUUUAUUGGGCGUAAAGCGAGCGCAGGCGGUCUUUUAAGUCUAAUGUGAAAGCCUUCGGCUCAACCGAAGAAGUGCAUUGGAAACUGGGAGACUUGAGUGCAGAAGAGGACAGUGGAACUCCAUGUGUAGCGGUGAAAUGCGUAGAUAUAUGGAAGAACACCAGUGGCGAAGGCGGCUGUCUGGUCUGCAACUGACGCUGAGGCUCGAAAGCAUGGGUAGCGAACAGGAUUAGAUACCCUGGUAGUCCAUGCCGUAAACGAUGAUUACUAAGUGUUGGAGGGUUUCCGCCCUUCAGUGCUGCAGCUAACGCAUUAAGUAAUCCGCCUGGGGAGUACGACCGCAAGGUUGAAACUCAAAAGAAUUGACGGGGGCCCGCACAAGCGGUGGAGCAUGUGGUUUAAUUCGAAGCUACGCGAAGAACCUUACCAGGUCUUGACAUCUUCUGACAGUCUAAGAGAUUAGAGGUUCCCUUCGGGGACAGAAUGACAGGUGGUGCAUGGUUGUCGUCAGCUCGUGUCGUGAGAUGUUGGGUUAAGUCCCGCAACGAGCGCAACCCUUAUUACUAGUUGCCAGCAUUAAGUUGGGCACUCUAGUGAGACUGCCGGUGACAAACCGGAGGAAGGUGGGGACGACGUCAAAUCAUCAUGCCCCUUAUGACCUGGGCUACACACGUGCUACAAUGGAUGGUACAACGAGUCGCGAGACCGCGAGGUUAAGCUAAUCUCUUAAAACCAUUCUCAGUUCGGACUGUAGGCUGCAACUCGCCUACACGAAGUCGGAAUCGCUAGUAAUCGCGGAUCAGCAUGCCGCGGUGAAUACGUUCCCGGGCCUUGUACACACCGCCCGUCACACCAUGAGAGUUUGAACACCCAAAGCCGGUGGGGU
rnacentral:rRNA from 1 species